rnacentral:rRNA from 1 species
UACAGAGACUGCAAGCGUUAUUCGGAUUCACUGGGCGUAAAGGGUGCGCAGGCGGCCAAGUGUGUUAGGCGUGAAAGCCCGGGGCUUAACCCCGGAAUUGCACCUAAAACUACAUGGCUAGAGCAUUGGAGAGGGUAGCGGAAUUCACGGUGUAGCAGUGAAAUGCGUAGAUAUCUGGAGGAACACCGGUGGCGAAGGCGGCAUCCUGGACCGGUAUUGACGCUGAGGCGCGAAAGCCAGGGGAGCAAACGGG